rnacentral:rRNA from 1 species
CUACAUGGGCGCAGCUGAUCAGCCUGCCGCGUGAGUGAUGAAGGCCUUCGGGUUGUAAGCUCUUUCACCCGGGACGAUAAUGACGGUACCCGGAGAAUAAGCCCCGGCUAACUCCGUGCCAGCAGCCGCGGUAAUAG